UACGGAGGUAGCAAGCGUUGUUCGGAUUUACUGGGUGUAAAGGUCAUGUAGGCGUCUUUCUAAGUCGGAUGUGAAAUCCCUCAGCUUAACUGAGGAACUGCAUUCGAUACUGGAAAGAUUGAGUACUUGAGAGGUAAGCGGAAUUCCGGAAGUAAGGGUGAAAUCUGUAGAUAUCCGGAAGAACACCAUUAGCGAAGGCGGCUUACUGGCAAGAUACUGACGCUGAAAUGAGAAAGCUAGGGGAGCGAACAGGAUUAGAUACCCUUGUA
rnacentral:rRNA from 1 species